rnacentral:rRNA from 1 species
UACGAAGGGAGCUAGCGUUGUUCGGAAUCACUGGGCUUAAAGCGUGUGUAGGCGGAAUUGUAAGUACCUUGUGAAAUCCCACGGCUCACCCGUGGAACGGCUGGGCAUACUGGCGAUCUUGGGCCAACUAGGGGCAACUGGAACAAGCGGUGGAGCGGUGAAAUGCGUAGAUAUCGCUUGGAACGCCAAAGGUGAAAACAGGUUGCUGGGGUUGUGCCGACGCUGAGACACGAAAGCCAGGGGAGCAAACGGG